rnacentral:rRNA from 1 species
UACGGAGGAUCCAAGCGUUAUCCGGAUUUAUUGGGUUUAAAGGGUGCGUAGGCGGAUUGAUAAGUUAGAGGUGAAAUGUCCGAGCUCAACUCGGGAACUGCCUCUAAUACUGUUGAUCUAGAGAGUAGAUACGGUAGGCGGAAUGUAUGGUGUAGCGGUGAAAUGCUUAGAGAUCAUACAGAACACCGAUUGCGAAGGCAGCUUACCAAUCUAUAUCUGACGUUGAGGCACGAAAGCGUGGGGAGCAAACAGG